UCAUUGAGAAAUGGGUCCGAAAUUACUGUUCAUGAGUCAGAGAAUUUUCAGCAGUAGCCAUUAAUUCACAAAACCCUAAUUUCUACUUUCCCAACCAGUUUUCAGAUCAAACACUAAAAUUACAAAGAAAAUAACAUGAACUCAUGAAGAAUAUUCAUAGAUUCAUCAAAAUCCAGCAACACAAAACUUAAGCAAAACCUCAAAUCAAUCCAUACAACCACACAAAUCAUCAUCAUCUAAACUGUACAAACAGAUCUGAAACAAAGAACGAAAAGAAGAGGAAGCAAACCGAACCGGAACCAGAUUGGAGCAAAAAGCAAACCGGAUCGGAAGGAGAGGAGCAAACCGAACCGGAAAAAGAGGAGGAGAACCGGACCGGAUUCAAACAAAGAGAGGGAGAUCGGAAAAAGAGGUAAUGAUAUGAGGAGCCUUAGGCAAUAUAGUUUCAGGAAGCCAGAUCUCUUGAGUUUGAGGAAGCUAGGGAAGAAAGUGGUUUGUACGGACGAUUUCUACAAGCAAUAUGGAAAUCUGAUGGGUGUUGUUAAGACAGAUAUUGACGAAGGGCUUCUCAACGCUUUUGUUCAGUUCUAUGACCCGAGCUACCAUUGCUU
rnacentral:lncRNA from 1 species